GUCUCUGACCCUGCGCCCCUGUCGGCCGCUUCCGCCUCCUGGUCCCGCUGAGAACUGCGAGACACCUUGGCAUCAUGGCCUCCUCCUUCCUCGCUGUCUUCCUGGGUCUUGCGAGUCUGCCCCUGGGGUGAGGAUGCUGGUGGCGCGAGGAAGACAGCUGCUGGCAUGUUUGGGGUUCUACGUGCGCACGUGUGGGAAGAGGGCGCAGUCGGGUUUUCUGGGGAGGAGACAUCACGGGUUCGAGUCCCGGUCAUGGCAGCUCGCCUGGGAGGGCCCCUCCCGUGUGCCACCCCCGCGCCGGUGGGCGCUGUCGGGGAGGAUGCGGGUCAGCCUGGGACGCAGCGUGGAGACGCCCUUGGGCCUGUUGCGCAGGAGCCCUCCGGGACGCGUCCGUCAAGGUUCAAGUUCACGGGAACACAGGAGGUGCACCGGGGUGGGGGUGGGGGUGGGGUCUGGCAGAAAGAGACGUCGGGAGACCCUGCCAAGGCAGGCCCCUGUGCCUCACUCAGAGCCGUGACAUGCCUGGCGUUCCCGCCCCACGCGGGGGUGCCGGCUCCACGCGCUGUGACCUUCCGCUUCCUGCCGGUAAAACCAGCUCCUGGGGCCGGCACUGUGGGGCAGUGAGUUCAGCCACCACCUGCAAUGCCGUAUCGGAUACCCCAGGCUGCUCCUCUCCCAUCCAGCUCCCUGCUGUGGCCUGGGAAAGCUGUGGAAGGUGGCCCAGGUCCUUGGGCCCCUGCGCCCGCGUGGGAGACCCGGGAAACUUCCCAGGUUUCUGGCCUUGGCCUGGCCCAGUCCUGACUACUGCAGCCAUUUGCUAAAUGAACCAGCAGAAGGAAGAUGCCCCCUCACUUCCCUCCUCUUUCUGUAACUCUGCCUUUUUUUUUUUUUAUCUUUUAAGAUUGAUUGAUUUAGGGCCGGCGCCGCGGCUCACUAGGCUAAUCCUCCGCCUAGCGGCGCCGGCACACCGGGUUCUAGUCCUGGUCGGGGCGCCGGAUUCUGUCCCGGUUGCUCCUCUUCCAGUCCAGCUCUCUGCUAUGGCCAGGGAGUGCAGUGGAGGAUGGCCCAGGUGCUUGGGCCCUGCACCCCACGGGAGACCAGGAAAAGCACCUGGCUCCUGGCUCCUGCCAUCGGAUCAGCGCGGUGCGCCGGCCGCGGCGGCCAUUGGAGGGUGAACCAACGGCAAAGGAAGACCUUUCUCUCUGUCUCUCUCUCUCUCACUGUCCACUCUGCCUGUCAAAAAAAAAAAAAAAAAAAAAAAAAAAAAAAAAAAAAAAAAGAUUGAUUGAUUUAAAAGUCGGAGUUACAGAGAGGCAGAGAGAGGCCUUCCAUCUGCUGGUUCACUCCCCAAAUGGCCACCAUGGCCAGAGCAGAGCUGCUUUCGGGCCUCUUACGUGGGUGCAGGGAACCAAGCACUUGGGCCAUCUUCUUCUGCUUUCCCAGGCCACAGCAGAGAGCUGGAGCGGAAGUGGAGCAGACGGGACUAGAACCGGCGCCCAUAUGGGAUGCUGGCACUGCAGGCAGAAGUUUUACCCGCUACACCACAGUUCUGGUCCCAACUCUGCCUUUCCAGUUAAGCCAGUUCAAGUCCUAGGUGGUCCACUUAUUAUCUGGCUCUCUGCUAUGGCCUGGGAAAGCAGUGGAAGAUGGCCCAAGUCCUUGGGCCCCUGCACCCACAUGGGGACCUGGAGGAAGCUCCUGGCUCCUGGCUUCAGCCUGGCCCGGCCCUGGCUGUUGUGGCCAUUUGGGGUGUGAACCAGGGGAUGGAAGACCUCUGUCUCUGUCUUUCCCUCUCUCUCUCUCUGUAACUCUACCUUUCAAAAAAAUACUUUUUUAAAUAGCACUGUUAGUUUCUAGGUUAUGGUAUCACAAAUGAAUUUUUUUAAAAAUGAAAAAAACCUAAGAGCAGAGUCCUGACUAAAGCAAUAAGAAAUUAAGACUUCAGUGACGCUUGCUGCGUUUGGGUUUAGUCCCAAGUCAUUCCUUCGCCCUUUUGUCUCCCUGUCUCUGGCUCCUCAGCACCUACCCUCAGAGCAGUGGCUUUCCCUUUGAUGUGUAACCUGCACCAGAUCCAGGCUCACUUAUUGCCUUAACUUCUGUAUUUUCAGGGAGGCUUAAUAAAAUUAUUCUCUUUUCUUAGUUUCUUUUUUUUCUUUUUUUUUUCUUUAUUUUUUGAGAGGCAGAGUUAGACAGUGAGAGAAAGAGAGACAGAGAAAGGGCUUCCUUUUGCCGUUGGUUCACCCCCCCAAGUGGCCGCUACAGCCGGCUCAUUGCCAGGAUCCAGGUGCUUCUUCCUGGUCUCCCACGGGGUGCAGGGCCCAAGCACUUGGGCCAUCCUCCACUGCACUCCCUGGCCACAGCAGAGGGCUGUCCUGGAAGAGGGGCAACCAGGACAGAAUCCAGCGCCCCAACCGGGACUAGAACCCGGUGUGCCGGUGCUGCAGGCGGAGGAUUAGCCUAGUGAGCCGCGGCGCCGGCUCUUUUCUUAGUUUCUACAGGGGAAAUGACAGGACGAGUUCGUCUGCAGCCUCUAGCCACACAGAAUGAAUAUGUGCUUGGCAAGUGCUUGUCCCAGGAGUCUAGGUUGUCCAGGCUGAAUGACCCUGGACUUGCCCACCCUCCCUCGCUGACCCCGAGAGGUUCAGGGUGAUGCUCCCUGGGACAGGCUGCCCCCUCCUGGAGUUACGUGCUGUGCCCCACAUUGGACACAAGAUGGCAGUAUUGCUAUGUCUGUGCUCCACACCCAGCUGUCUCCUCACCGUGUUCCCACCCCGGGCUUAAUGCACACUGUCCACACACACACACACACACACGCAUGGGAUGAUACGUCGCCUGUGGUCGGUGGUACCUAUGUUUGACUUUGGAGCUCCUAUUCUUUUUUUAUUUAUUUAUUUAUUUAUUUUUUUAUUUUUAUUUUUUGGACAGGCAGAGUGGACAGUGAGAGAGAGAGAGACAGAGAGAAAGGUCUUCCUUUGCCGUUGGUUCACCCUCCAAUGGCCGCCGCGGCCAGCGCGCUGCGGCCGGCGCACCGCGCUGAUCCGGUGGCAGGAGCCAGGAGCCAGGUGCUUUUCCUGGUCUCCCAUGGGGUGCAGGGCCCAAGCACCUGGGCCAUCCUCCACUGCACUCCCUGACCACAGCAGAGGGCUGGCCUGGAAGAGGGGCAACCGGGACAGAAUCCGGCGCCCCGACCGGGACUAGAACCCGGUGUGCCGGCGCCGCUAGGCGGAGGAUUAGCCUAGUGAGCCGCGGCGCCGGCCCGGAGCUCCUAUUCUUUAUACAAGUCUCAGGCAGCGCUGGCUGUGGGACCCAGUGCAAAAUGAACGCGGGGCUCCUUGUUCAAAAGGCAGGAGAGGGGCUGGCGCUGGGGCACAGUUCUAAGUGCAGCCGUGACUUUGACGCCAGCUUCCCACUUCAGAGUGCCAGUCUGAGUCCUGGCUGCUUCCCUUCCAUCCAGCUCCCUGCCACUGCAGCUGGGAAGGCAACAGAAGAUGCCCCAAGGUUGAGCCCCUGCCAUGCAUGUGGGGGACCCCGCUGGGGCGCCAGGCUCCUGGCUUCAGCCUGGCCCGGCUCCAGCUGCUGUGGCCGUUUGGGGGGAGCGAGAGUGGAUGGGAGAUCUCUCGCUGUGUCUGUCUCUCCCUCUCGAGUAAAUACAUUUUUUUUUCAAAACAGCAAGAACAAAGUGCUAUUAAAGGCAGUGAAAUAGGAAGCUUUUUCCUUUCUUCCUCAGGCUCUUGGCUUGUCAUGGAGUUUUUCAUUCGCGUUUAAUGUCAGUCUAAGUAAAGAAACACAAAACCACUAAAUUCAAUUUUAAAUCAUUAGCAUGAAUUUUACCACUCGUUUUGAUCCUGUGUGAUGCCAGCUCACACAACUGUGGAAAACACUGUGAUAGAGAAUUAAGUCCUGCAGAAUCAGUGAGGUGACACUGCUGAUACCUCGCAGCUCACGCGUGCCCAGGCAGCCCAUUCCGGGAAGACCGCACAGCGCUAACUCAGCGGCUUUUAUUUCCUGUUCGUGCCCGUUCUGCCUACACCUCUACCUGUGACUUGCUGGAGAGUAAGGGAGGACGGAGUGAGGAAGCUCCGUUCCCCUCAGCAAGCCAGCGCCUACUUCCGCGCCGGGACCCGGUGCUGGUGGCUUCUCAGGGCUGCAGGGCCCCAGCUCACUCAGUCACGGGCACGACACGGUUGCCUUAGGCUUGAUUUGGCUCUCACCAGCCUCCCUCACGUGGUGGAUCCUGCGAAUCCCAGGCCAUCGAGGCAUCCUUUGAAGGCAGCAGCGAGCAGCCGUUGCACGUACAUCCCCGCUGUCCGUGCCUGGGCACCACCGUCCCAUCGACUUCACUCCCAAGAGACAAGUGCAGAGAAAAAACUCAUCAUCGUCGCAACAUAGUGAUGGCAGAGCAUUAAACCACGCAUGGGGCUCUUCUGAACCGUAGGUCCUGUGGGAUGUGAGGUGUCCUGGCACUCUGGUAUCGGCCGUUUGCACACCCGUUUUCACAGUCCACGCCUACAUCUGCAGUGGGCAUUUUCAUCCAGGGGCCAGAGCAGCUUAAGGCCACGCAUGCCAACAACAGUGCCGGUGAGCAUCCGUUGCUUCAGAAAACAUUUACACAGAGACCCUGCUCUGCGCCAGGUACAGCUGCGGAUCCUGGGCACGCAGCACUGCACACACGGAGCCCCUGUCCUCUCGGAGCUGAGACUCCGGGGGGAUGAGGAAGAGCCACUUCUCAAAGCAAUGCAGAGCAAAGCAGAGUGAAAGGUACAAAGGCUGAGAGGUGGGGUGUGCAUUGUGUGUGUGUGUGUGUGUGUGUGUGUGUGUCAGAGCACCGGGGCUGUAGCUGGAGCCGAGCGAAUAAGAAGCAGAGGGCAGAUGAGGUCAGAUCAGCGAGGGCUGAGGCCUUGUAGGGGCCUUGCUUUCCCAUAAAAAACCUCAUUCCGUUUGCCUCCUCUGCUCUACCAUCUUUGUAUCUGGAUUCAUAGGAACCAGGAACCUUGUUUUUUUUAAAAGCAUCGAAUGGAAGCAUGUAAUUUUAGUGCUUUCAUCGUAUUUUUAUUUAUUUUAUUCUAAAGAGGAAAUCUUCCAUCUGCUGGUUCACUCUCCAAACACCUGUGAUAGUGCCAGGCCGUCGCUGGCAGCCCAGAACUCUUCCAGGUCUCCCACGUGGGAGGCAGGGGCCCAAGUACUUGAGCCACCACCUACAGCUCCCCGUGUGCACAUGAGCAGGAAGCUGGGACUGGAAGUAGUGCUGGACUUGAACAAGGCCCUGGGGUGCAGGUGUCCUGAGUGGCGUCCUGACCACCACGUGUGGCACCUGCCCAUCUGACACUCGUCACUGGGCUCUUGCCCACGCGUAGCCCCACGUCUCGCUCCUGGCUCACCAGUUCUGAGCAGGCUGCUCGGGCGCCUUGGGUCGACAUCAGGCAGUCCUCUCGUACCCUGGGGCUUCUCCGGCAUCACACACCUGAGGAGCCAGAAGCCUGUUCAGCAUUGGCACACACGGGGCUGCUGAGGGCAGGGGCGCUGGCGCCCAUGGACUUCCUGAGCCAACAGGACUGGAAGCGGUGGAGAACACGUUCCAUGUGGCUCCACAGAAGGCUUCGGGUACUGAGUAGCAGUCGUGUGCAGUAGAGGAUAAUAGUAUUUUAUUUUAAAGAUUUAUUUAUUUAUUUGAAAGAGUUACACACAGAGAGAAGGUGAGGCAGAGAAAGAGAGAGAGAGGUCUUCCAUCCACUGGUUCACUCCCCAGUUGGCCACAAUGGCUGGAGCUGUGCCAAUCCGAAGGAAGAAUCCAGGAACUUCUUCCGGAUCUCCCACACAGGUGCAGGGGCCCAAGGACUUGGGCCAUCUUCUACUGCUUUCCCAGACCAUAGCAGAGAGCCGGAUUGGAAAUGGAGCAGCCGAGACUCAAACUGGCGCCCAUAUGGGAUGCUGUCACGGCAGGCAGCGGCCUUACCCGCUACGCCAUAGCACAAGCCCCAAGGCUAACAGUCUUAGUGGCAUCCUGGUGCUGCUUUUUCAUUUUCUUGUUCCAAUGCCCUGAUCCCUCCCCCUUUCUCGGGUCGCUUCCUAAGUGAAGCACUUGCACAGAAACCUCUGUCUUGGAGUUACUUCUGUGGGCGGCGGCAGGAACCGAGGCUAAGAUACAGAUAUGCCGUCCGGCAGUUCAUCCCGGCAUUGCUGAUGUGAGUCGUCUCUUCCUCUUUCUCCGUUCCUCUUCCUCUCCUCUCUACUUCCCAGUCUUGAAUGUCAUGUGUGUCUCUCACUUUCCCCCUCCACAAAAGCACCCACCCACUCUUUCCUUCUGCCAGAGUGAACCCUCUCGCAUGCUACACCCACUCACUUCAGUAGCUUCCCAUCAUCUGCAAGAUAAAGUCCAAACCUCAGGCCACGCCCACCUCCCCAUCAACACCUCUGGCCGCACAGGGGCUUCCUCUCUGAAGUCUCCCCUUCAGAGGGUCUCUCUCCUGAAGCCUUUCUCUUGGCCAAGUUCCCCUCUGAGGUCCGUCUGGGUCAUCAAAAGCUGACCUGAAGAGCAGGUACGCUCCAUUUCCCAUCACCCAAGGGGCUGAGCUGCAGAAUUUGCCGCAGGUCAACACUACACCAUGAGUUCCUCUCUUCGUAACUGACUCCUCCAAGACUGACUCAUAUUGUGUGUGUGCAAGACCCGGCCAUUCUCCGCUCUGAGGGGAUACACAGGUGGUAAGCACUCACUUAGUAGAUUUCUCAAAGAAGGAAGCCACGGUCAGAGAAGGAGAGACCGACAGAUUCCCGUCCAGCCCAUUGCUGUGGUUUUGUAAGGCUCUGCUCAACUUAGUUGUAUUUCCGAAGGAAAUGUAUGGCUUUCAACGUAGUAUACAAGAUCUAGCAGAUUCUGCUGGGUAGUUGGUACUCAUAAGUAUGUGUUGCAUCGAAAUGAUUCAGAUGCCUCUCCUUGACCAUGCGCUAACCAGACAUUGAGUGGGAAGUGACAACUGACACACAACUCUCUCUUCAUUGUUCGCGUACCCCCCUCUAAUGCUGCCUCCAAGGAUACGACCAACUGGCCUAGUAUUUUAUUUUACAAGACAGUGCUCCUGUACCCCUUCUGUGGCAAAGACCACACUCACCACGGUAACGGGGGUGACCUGGACCCUCAUCUUCCAGAGAAGGAGGGCAACGAAGGCAUCCACAAGAAGACAACGGGGGAUGUGAGGGGCUCCCCCAAGCCCCUUUGAAGCCCAGUCAUAGAGCAUGUGUCUUGUCCCCGUGGUGAGAACCAGGUCCAGAGGGCAGCUAUGAGGCUGGGCCUCUCUGUUCCUCCCACCAGGCAUGCUGCCCACCUGCACAGAGCCAGCGCCCAGCAAGCCUCGUGUGGUGGCGGUGGCGGUGACGGCGACGGUGAUGGUGAGGUUCAGAGAGCACAUCCAUCAACUGGUGACAGCCCAGCAGCGAGGUCACUGUGCCAUCCUCUGGAAUGUCCACGAGAGACCUGCCUGCCUCCUGCACGGACAGGGAGCGCCAGCAACCUGGCCUUUUUGGGUCCCAGGAGAGCCACAGCACUGUUUUCCUGCACCGACAAUGCCUAAGACCUUGGUCUUCCUGCUUGUCGGCUGGCUCUGGUGCUUGCUUCUGCUUCUCGGAAAUGUACAUGCCUCCCUCCCCUCUCGCCGGAGGGAAGUCUGCACUUGGAGGUUUUGGAUCCUAUUCAGUGUCCCUGCAGGCUCUCUCCUCCAGAGGCUCGUGGCCCAGACUGAGACAGAAUGUUUUGUGUGGUUUCAAGGACAAGGUCACACCCGUUCUCUUCUGCAAUGUCCUCAGUAUAUUUUCAUUUGGGAGAAUAAUUUGUUAGUCAAUGGGAAAGCAGCCUUUUCUUUCUUUCACAUCAUUUCUCUUCAUUUUCCACCCGGUUUUUCCUAAACUCCUAACUCAUCUAAUGAAAAAGGCAAAUGUUAACAAUUUAGCGUAAAUGGAUUGCUUUGGGAGUAACAGUUUAGUGUCCAUGUUAGCCAUGGGGACGAAAACAUCAAAAGGCCUUGAAUUCAUGAGAAUGGAAGGUAGGGAAGCUACCUGAUGACGCCAGCACAGAGCAGCUGUCUCCUUUUCUGGGAGGUCCUUCAAAGCACCCUGCACCCCCAAAGCAGUGGGAAUGUGUGCCCCAUCUUCACGCCCCUGAUUCCUGCCAGGGCCUGGGCAGGAGCGCGGUGAGACAUGCUCCCCUUACAUUCCAUGUCUGUCAAAGUCACCCUCUCCACAGCUUUCUCCCAGGGCCUGUUCAAAACAAAAACAGAUCCCUUCCUGUAAAAUUUAAUGUUUAUAUUUUAUUUACUUCAUCUACUUGGAAGAUAGAGUGACAGAGACAGAGAGAUCAGAGAGAGAUUGAGAGAGAUUUUGAUUUUCUGUGACUGGUUCACUCCCCAAAUGCCCACAACAGCCAGGGAUGGGCCAGUAUCUCCAUCCAAGUCUCCCACAUGGUCAGCAGGAACCCAGGCACUUGGGCCGUCACCCACAGCCUCUAGGGUGCAUCAGCAGGAAGUUGUAUUGGAAGUAGAGUAGAUAGGACUGAUUUGGGAUACAGACAGCUUAACCCUCCUUACCACAAUGCCCCCUCCCUCUACCAAAGGAUCCUUGAGUUUCACUCCCACCCCACCCUACCUCCAGACCAGCUUAUGUCAGGGUAAGAAGAAUGUUCCUGUUCACACGGGGUCUUAUGCUGAGUUUAUCAGAUGUCAGUCUAACCAGUUGAAUUUGCAUUUUGUCCCGAUUUAUUUUUGAAAAGGAAAUUAGAAUUAUAUUUCUAGAUGCAUUUUUUUCACCCUUUGCUCUGUGCUGUCAGAAGAGCUACUGUUAUCUUCUCGUGCUAUUCACUGAUUGCUGUCUUUUCAUAACACUUUCUUGGGUUCCUCAUGGUGCCCUGCCUCCUAUUGCCAGAGUGCAGUGGGAUCCUGACUUGUGCCUACGAGCUGAUAGGGAAAAUAAUGAAUCCCGAGGUCCACAGAAGGCAUUCAGUAAACCCCUUCUGAUCAAGAAAUAAGUUACAAGAUUGCAUUCUAGUGGCUGGACAUCUGCUUUCAGGGUUCCACUUGGGGAACUCUUCCUUGGAUGUAAUUCAAAGAGAACUAGGUCGCUUGGCUUUUCUGUGCUAUAUGCAGAAGAAAGGAGGGAGCGGGAUAGGAAACCACCUGGACUGCUGCCUCUGCUUAGGGUUCAAGCCGUAGGGUCCUGUCUUCCUGGUGUCCAAUAGUGUCCUGUGCAGAGCUGAGGAAUCAAGCCUGCACCCCUUCAAAGACAUGAAUACACACUCUCGACAAUCCGUCCUCUCUCUCUCUCUCUCUCUCUCUCUCUCUCUCUCUCUCUCUCGUAGAACCACAGGGCAAUGCUUUGUUGAUACUGACCCCCUGUCUGUCUGUCUGAUUCCCCAGGAGGGCAGGAAUGACAACCAUGAUAAUGCUGAUUAGUUUCUUUUGUUCAGUUUAACACCCUCAGUUCAUAGAACGUCCCUAGCACACGGCAUGCACUCAAUAAAGCAUCUCUAGAAAGAAUGGAUCGAUUCAGGUUAUAUUUGUUCUGAUCUUACAGAUUAUGUGAUUAGCAAGGGAAAAAUCAGACCUCCUCAUGCAUUUGAAUUCUGUGUUUGGCGUUUGACGUCUGACUAUGACUCCCUUUCUGGUUUGAUCCGGGACUCUGUACAAAACCGCAGCCUCUUGCUGUAAGUAACCACAGGGUCUGCGUCUGGAAGAGGAGGAGGCUUUGCAGUAAUGAAGGGAAAUGGUGACCCAGUAGGAAAAGCUGAGGUAAUGAAGACGAGACGAGAGCCGCACACACGUGGCCACUUCUCUGCUCCAUCCGCCCGUCUGUGCAGGAUGCCCACAGUCACGACAGGAGCCUUCCACGGAAUUCUCUUCCUCCUUUUUAUCGCAUCUAGCUAUCCUUCACCCCUUUUGACUUGUAGGUUGGGUUCUGAUUAAUGUUGCUUACUAUUGGGAAAGAAUGAAAUAAGAGCAACACUGCUUAUUGUUAACAGUAGCAUAAUCAUAUGCCCCAUAAUGGCAUGUUGGCCCAUAAUGGACUAUAUUAUGUGCUAAUGGCCCCAUAAAAUUAUAAUGGAAGUGAAGAAUUCACAUUAUGUCAUAUUUUCACUGUACUUUUCUAUGCUUUGCUAUGUUCAGAUUCAUAAAUACUUGCAUUAGGUUACAGUUGCCCACAGUACUCAGUCCGGCACAUAGUGUGUAGAUUCAUAACUCGGGUGUGAGGUGGGCUAGACCAUCGGGCACUCCGUGAUGAUCAGCCCAGCAAGGAGGCAGCAAUAGCGCAAGUCUCACAACAUACCACGUUGUUAAGAGACGCGUGACUGCAUCAGAUUCACAAACCUUGGCAGUCUGUGUUUCUUCUGAGAAGACCCAGACUUCUCAGAUCCAGACCCAAGCUUAAUCUAUUAAGCUUAAUUAUUAAUUAAUCUUGCAGGCCCAACAAUCAUGAGCCCCAUUUUUCUAACACUGAGAAGUACGUGUACUUGGGACCAUCUUCCACGGCUUUCGUAAGCGCACCAGUAGGUAGCUGGAUCCGUGGUGGAACAGUUGAGACCCUAUGUGCGAUGCUAGCAUGGCAGGAAGUGGCUUACCCCUCUGGACCCCAACACUGGCCUCACUCAAAGCCUUUAUUAUGUAUCUACCAUACACAAAUGGUUGUGCAGGAAUUGUGGGAAGUCCUUACACACAUGUAUGUGCAAUAAAGUUGUUUUUACCUACAAAGCACUUGUACCCUCUUGUCCAGGGUACCCAGGACAGGCGAGGGCUGCUCCUCUGUCCACGCCUACUGUGCACCCCCAGCUCUAUUACUCUGGAUAUUACUCUGUGAUAGCCAGCCGUCUAGAGAACCAUGAGUUCUGUGAACUCAGGCACUGUGUCACAUUGGCUUAUGCAGCACUCACAGGGUGCCUGGUGCUCGGUAGGACUGGACUGGGGAGGACAGCAGAGGCCGUCUUCUCACUGUGUCCCCCCCCCCCCCAGCUUUCAUGUCAGAGCUCUAACUUUAGACUUCUUUUAGGAUUCUUUCUUGGUCCCCUUCACCUAUGACCUUCUCUCCAGGUAGUUUUUCUUUGUUUGUUUGUUUGUUUGUUUGUUUUAAAGGAAGAGUGAAAGAAAGAGAGAAUCCAUUCACUCAUUCAUUCCCAAAUGCUUGCAAGAGCCAGGGCUGGGCCAGGCUGCAACCAGGAGCCAGAACUCAAUUCAGGUGCCCCUGUGUGUGGCAGGGACCCAAGUGCGUGUGCCGUCAUCUCUCUCCCAGAGUGCUCUGCAGCAGGAAGCUGGAAUCGGGAAUGGAGCCAGGAUGCACGCCCGGGGCUGCGGUUCCUUGGGUGUUCCUGGCAUUUCGGUUUCAUGGGACUCACUGGGCCUUACCGUUGAGCCAAGAGAAAAAGGGUCCUAUCUUCCCCAACAUGGCGCUUCUUGGGAACCCAGGGGCUCAACCAUCGGUGUCCUGUGUGUCAGGCUAUCAGGUUCUCAGGCUCCGGCCUUUGUUUCCCCGGGGCCUGGUUUGUCUCUGCAAACAACGUCUCCUUUGAGUCACUCUCCUCCCACUGGGAAGAGGAAUCCAGCACAAAGUGAAAUUCGGGGGCUGGAGGGAGGUUUGGCCAAAGUUCAUACAACUGUGUUUGCUUUACUGUUCUUCCCGCCAGGCUCCCAAGCACAGAGCCAGGGCCCGCCAUUUCUCAGGGCAGCAGACCUGUCCUCUUCGGCCCUCAGCAGGCUCCCUGCGGCGUCUGGCGUCAGGCAGCGGCUCCGUCGGAGGCCGGUCUGAGCACCUGCGCGGUGUGUGUCUGCACAGUGUUUACGCCGAGCUCGGUCUCGUGCAGAUGUUGGUGUGCACGCCAUCAGUUACGAAGCGUCUUUGCACCAAGACUUUGCUCUCACGUGCCUCCCUCCCUGCUCAGGCUCACAUACCCACCGGGCCCCCAGGGCCCUCUGCGAACAUCCAGCCCUCUGUGGUUUUGCUUGGCCAGAUCCUUCAUCUGUAAUUGGUUUGGAUGUUCAGCUUUCAACGUCUCCCCAAACCACAGUGGCACGCCAAGGUUUAGGAGAGCCGUGGUGUCUGCGUUCCCCUCGCCUCAGGCCAUUCUCUUGCCCGUGGAGCACUGUGAUGGAAGGUGCACAGGCGUUUUUCUGUCUUGUCUGACAGCUCCUUGUGGAACAUAAACUAACAGCCCCAUGGUUCCCGUGGCGCCAACGCUCUGUGUCAGAGACCCGUUGUUGUAGGGGCUGUUGGAUGAGCUGUGGUUGGUAUGUGGACUUGGCUGGAUCAGCAGGAUUCUUGGGGGAUUUUUAAAUUUUAUUUUAUUUUAUUUUAUUUUCGUUAGCCAUUUGUCACUGCCAAGGGUCUGGUUACAAGAACCGCACAAAAGUAAUGACAGUCCUUGAAAUUCUGGGUUCACUCUCCAGCUCGGCCAAACCAGCGGGGACUCACCUUAGAAGACGUACUUUUUGAUGAGAAAUAUUUUCUUUUCUUUUCUUUUCUUUUCUUUUCUUUUCCUUUCUUUUCUUUUCUUUUCCUUUCUUUUCUUUUCUUUUCUUUUCUUUUCUUUUCUUUUUUGACAGCAGAGUUAGUGAGAGACAGAGAGAAAGGUCUUCCUUCCGUUGGUUCACCCCCCAAAUGGCCACCACGGCCAGUGCGAUGUGCCGAUCCGAAGCCAGGAGCCAGGUACUUCCUCCUGGUCUCACAUGCGGGUGCAGGGCCCAAGCACCUGGGCCAUCCUCCACUGCCCUCCCUGGCCACAGCAGAGAGCUGGCCUGGAAGAGGGGCAACCGGGACAGAAUCCGGUGCCCUGACCGGGACUAGAACCCGGUGUGCCGGUGCCCUAGGUGGAGGAUUAGCCUAUUGAGCCACGGCACCGGCCUGAGAAAUAUAUUCUUAAAAUGCCGCUCUCUACUCCCUAAUUCCAAAUCUCAGCUUCUGGGCCCUCCCUUAACUCACAUUGUUUCUCAGGAGGCUUAGCACACUGCAGCCAGUAAAUCUUCAUUUCUCAUCCCUGCUGACCGGGAAGGUUCUGGAUAGAGACUCUGCUUCUCUGUCUGGCAUGCAAGGACCUCCAGACUCCAACUCCGAUUCACCUCUCCAAUGUAUGGCUCACUUAUUUGAACUCCUGCUUUGAUCAAAAUGACACUCUCCGUUUUGGGGUAAUUUCCUGAUAGUCUUACCUUUCCAAUGGUUCCUUUUCAAUCUCCCUUUAGACUCUUUUUCCAGGAAUAUAAGCUUCCCUGGAGUUUUAUUGAUUUUUUUUGCCCCUUUCACUUUUUAGUGUUCUCAUUCACUCUGAUGGCUUCAACUCUCCAUCCUAUGUCCAUUCUCUUUCUCCAUCUGGAAAUUCCUCUGGAUUCUAGACCCCUCUAGCUUCAUUGGCUAUCGUGGAUGGCUCAAUGAGCACCUCAAACUCAACAUGCUCAAAGCUAAAUUCGUAUUUCCUCCAGCCUUGACUCACCUAUGGGAAUGAUCUCUAAGCCUAAUCUGCUCUUCUCCUGAUAUUUCCCACCUGCCCUGAAGCUCGGAUCACUUCCUGUCUCCACCGCAGGGAUCAGCACACAGGCAGCUACCAAGGUAAAACUCUGAGGCUCCUGGAUAGUCGCCUCUCCAUCCUUCCUGGAUUCCUACCAGCUCUGCCCCCAAAACAGUGCCCAAACCUCUGCUUCUUGUUGAAUGACUCUAGGUUCUCUCCCAUAAUAUCUCAUAAUAUCCCAUAAUAUCUUCUUGUUGAAUGACUCUAGGUUCUAUCCCAUAAUAUCUCAUAAUAUCCCAUAGUAUCUUCUUGUUGAAUGACUCUAGGUUCUAUCCCAUAAUAUCUCAUAGUAUCUCAUAAUAUCUUCUUGUUGAAUGACUCUAGGUUUUAUCCUAUAAUAUCUCAUAAUAUCCCAUAGUAUCUUCUUGUUGAAUGACUCUAGGUUCUAUCCCAUAAUAUCUCAUAAUAUCCCAUAGUAUCUUCUUGUUGAAUGACUCUAGGUUCUAUCCCAUAAUAUCUCAUAAUAUCUUCUUGUUGAACGACUCUAGGUUCUAUCCCAUAAUAUCUCAUAGUAUCCCAUAAUAUCUUCUUGUUGAAUGAAUCUAGGUUCUGUGGGUUCUAUCCCAUAAUUCUCCAUAGCUGUUUUCUUCUUCCCAUCACGUCUCCCUUUUUUCCAUUUGGACACCUUGCGUCCCUUGUCCAGGUGACCACAGCUGCCUCCUUACUGGUCUGCAGUCUUACAUCUUUUAAAGCCAUUGUUGAUUCACUACAACAAUAUUUACAGAGGGAUCGCUGUGCUUGGGGCCAUCUGUGGACAAGGCAGAUGAGACGCCUGUCUUCACACGCCCUACAUUUUGUUUGGAAACACAGACAUUCCAUCCUUGAAAGUACAACUGGUGGGAGAACCCCAGGAACUAAGAGCUAGCCUAAGAAACCAAACAGGAAUUUCUAGGGAAGGAAAAUGUCAGUCAAAUGUUAGGGGUGCACGGGGGACACCCAGUGAGGGAGAAGGUCAGGGCAUGGUUAGGACGUCCUCGUUGGAAGAAUCGUCAGAUGGCAAACGUGAGGAGCCUCUCCCACCCUCCUCUUUCUCCAAUCAUCUACUUUUCUGGUUGAAAAUAAUGCAUAUUCAUGGUCGGAUAGUUGGAGAAUGCAGAGGGAGAUAGAAUAGGAAAUAGCAUUUAUCCACAGUCUCACCACCCGGAGACCAAUGCCGCUAACACGGCUGUGCACGCCCUUUCAGCUUUGUCUACACACACAUGCAUUUUCAAAGCGAUCUCCCUAUACCUAAAGCCUAUCGUAUUAAGCUGCAGCCUACUACGACAUCAUCCCAUAUCAGAAUUGCAUCCGGGUCUUGCACGUGGGUGCAGGCACCCCAGUACUUGAGCUAUCUUUGGCUGCUUUUCCCAGACAUGUUAGCAGGGAGCUGGAUUGGAAGCAGAACAGCCCAGACAAUAUCAUACCUUCCCUUUUAUUAUUUAUUUUUUACUUAAAAAAUGAUUUAUCUAUUUAUUUGAAAGUCAGAGUCACAGAGAAAGAUCUUGCAUCCGCUGGUUCACUCCCCAGAUGGCCACAAUGGCCAGGGCUGGGCCAGGCUGAAGCCAGGAGCUUCCUUCAGGUCUCCCACGUGGGUGGCAGAAACACAAGCACUUGGACCAUCUUCCACUGCUUUUCCCAGGCCACCAGCAGGGAGCUGGAUUGGAAUUGGAGCAGCCCAGACUCGUGGCUGCUUUACCCGCUAAACCACCACAUCUGCCCCAUUCUUAACUCCACCCUUCUCGCAGGUGUUGAAAGGCAGAAAACUACAUUUCCCAGAAUCCUUUGCUGACAGUGCUAGGUCCACCAGUGAGGGGCAUUCGUUUGAGAUGUGGAAUGAGAAGCAGGGGCAGGGGUGCUCGGCUGCUCUGCUGGCUGUGGUGGCACCCAAAUGGCAGGAUGUUCCUCUGACAAGUUCCUGCUUUGGUGCUGUAGGCAGCAGGGAUCGUCCAUGGCGGGCUCCCAGAGUUCUGGAACCCCUGGACUUUCUGAAAGGGAGGGACAAACCUGGCCUGUGUCCUGCGCCUCCUUACACGUUCUUAUCUGGCACAGUUCCUUGCUUCCUGCACACAUAUUCUGCUGCUGUUGGAGACAGUACCAUCCGACGAGUACCAUCCGACACUUCAUUUCUAUUGGCCAAACAUCUCAGCUGGUAGAAGGAGCUGUAAUCCUUUUAGGAAUUUAAGUUUCUCCUCUGUAGCAGCGGUUUAUUUAGGAUGUGAACAUUUACACAAAUGAAACAGAAAGGCUUUAGGAAACAGGUAAAUGCUUACCGAUGACUCAGCUCCCCGAGGCUGUCAGCACCAACAGUGCUGCACACUCAGCACCUGAAGAAUCGUCAAUGUUUGUUAACGGUCCAGUGUGUGUCUACAGCCUCCUUAGGCUUUCAUGGAGUUGGAAACAGGAAGAAAUUACUAUGAACUUGUGCCUAUUGCUAAGUGCCCUAUAGGUAGGCGUUAGGUGUUGGGAAAACAUAGUAAACAAGAGUGGUAGCUUUCUGCUGUCCCAAAGAUUACAGGCUGGCAAGUUCAAUGCUUGAUAGGUCUUAUUGACAAGGAGUGAGGCUGGUCAUUCCCCAUCUCCACCCCUAUUCCCUGUGACCCUGGCAUGAAUGGCAACAAGCUCACCAGGUCUACAGAGCACCCAGUGUAAUGCCAGAGUUUCUUGGGAACAGAGCUGUGAGCCGGGUGUUGCCUGGGGUUUCCCCAAGCAUGCCGGCAUCUCCAGCCUCAUGGACUACGGCAGGUACAGCAUGGUCCUCUCUGGAUGGUUCGCUUCUUGCUCAGUAUUUCAUUCAUCAUGGAAGUCUGGCCUGGAAGCUAAUAGCGUCCAACCUUAAAUACUAGAGGGAAAAGGGCAAGGAAAGUAGUUAUGUGACUAUUGAAAGACAGGGCCGGAUACACCUUUGCAGACUAGAGUGGCAUUCUACGCCAGGCCACAGGGCAGAACAUACAAGGAGAGAGAAACACUUAAAUGCUAUAUUUUGAGAUUUUAAGGGGUAAGAAAUGUAAAAUCCACGAAGUAACGGAAGGUCAGUGCAAAGAUGGUCAUUCCAUGGGCUUAGCUAACGUUUAUUGAGGCCUUGCUAUGUGCCCACCACUGUUCCAAGUGCGUUACGUUAAUGAUACAUUUAGUCCUAAUGACCCCCAUGAGUACGGACUACUGUGAUCCCCAUUUGAUGGGUCAGGCAACUGAGGCAGGAGAGAAGAACUUUACCCAAGGCCAUAGAAAUAAGCGGUAGAACUUGAGUGUGAACCUGAGUAGUUUGAUCACAGUGAGGGGAGAGGUCGUGUCUUCCUGUUUUGGAAUUUCUCCUUGUAUCCUGUGAGCCAGUCUGAUCUGGAUACAGUAAGCAUCAAAGAAGUGAUAUUUCCUUUCUUUCUUUCUUUUUUUUUUUUUGACAGGCAGAGUGGACAGUGAGAGAGAGAGACAGAGAAAAAGGUCUUCCUUUGCCGUUGGUUCACCCUCCAAUGGCCGACGUGGCUGGUGCACACGCUGAUCCGAUGGCAGGAGCCAAGUGCUUCUCGUGGUCUCCCAUGGGGUGCAGGGCCCAAGCACUUGGGCCAUCCUCCAACUGCAUUCCCAGGCCUUAGCAGAGAGCUGGCCUGGAAGAGGAGCAACUGGGAUAGAAUCGGGCGCCCUGACCGGGACUAGAAGCUGGUGUGCCAGCGCCGCAGGCAGAGGAUUAGCCUAGUGAGCCGUGGCGCAGGCAAGAAGUGAUAUUUCUAAGAGGAAGUUGUAAAAGGGACCUCUGGGUGUCUUCUUGACCAUUGUGGUCUGACAUGCUAAGGUCAGGUCACAAUAGCUAGCUAUUUCUUGGGCCUAGAUUUUCCCAAACGGCGAAUAUGUCAUCUGAUCAGUCAUCAGCCACUGGCAUCUUGGUGUAGAUGGCUGCAUUAUUUCACUUGAAUUUUAAAAUGUGGGGCUCAGAGCAGAUAGCUUGAAAUGGAAGGAGAGGAGAGCGAAGGGGCUAAGAAAAGAGUGAGGGAGGUGGGUGUACUGAGCGCUGUUGCAGAACGCCUUCAGGAAUACGCAUCACUUUGAAAUCUUAGACGCUUACCCUUGAAGGUCAAGAUCAAAACAAGGGCACCAGCCCACCAUUCUGCAGAACUUUACUCAAUUAUGUCAAAAAGCAGAAGAAUAUAGAAGAAGCGAAGUCAAAUUAUCGUUACCCAGAAGCAGGGAGCACUCUCAGGGAGGGACAGCAGGCUCUCUCAUCCUUUCUGAUCGGCACCCAUGAAGUCUGAGAGAUGUUGUGAUACUUUGGUAGAAGGAACCGCUAAUUCCCAGACCAACUCAGAGGCGAGGGCCAGUGGCGUGCCGGGAACAUUUGACAGCCAGCUCCCCAGCCCUUGUCCAACUUCUGUGGGAUAAACACUCCCACAACGGCUGAUUCUAAGCUACUACAGUGAUGCCCCUGGAUGCGCAGGUGGGAAGAGACGGUGCAGUUGGCUUCCGAAGGCGCACACAGGUUGGCUUCCACCCAGCAGGAGGGUGAGGAUGGCUGGAGGGCUCAGCCCUAGGCAUGAGCAGUGCGCACAGGCAGGAGACUCCUCCGUCUCUGGCCUCACCCUGCUCCCUCUCCAUCUGGCAAUGUUGGGAGUGGAAAAUGUCAUCACCCCGCUGAGAAUGGAACAGCACUUCCUUUGUAGCCAGACAUUCUUAGAGGAUCAUAACACAUUAAACACACUGACACCGGAACUCUCUUCUCUUUCUAGAAAAGCACUGGAGAGGCCACGCUCCCCCAGCAAGCCCAAGACGCCGUGUUGGUGACGGUGGCGGUCAGGUUACGCAUGGUGCCUUCCCCGCCGCCCUCGGCCCGGGACACCGGGCUCUGCAGGUCCCAGGGACGCUUCCUCUGUGGGUGAGAUGGGAAACUCUGCUUACAGAGGAUUUUAAAUCCCCAGAUCCCCAUGCCCAGCUUUACAUUCCCCUGGAAGCUCUGCUGUCUAAAGGGUAUUCUCUGUGCGCUGGGGACUCUGCAUUGGUUAGAACGACUUGAGCAGGGCUAGCAAAACCCCCUGGCCCGAUUUGCUGACCUGAUGAGGAACGAACUGAUCUCAGACAAAGAGGACUUCCCCGACAGGAGGGCAUCAUGACUGAUUAACUCAGGGGCUCAGGAGGUCCACGAAGUCCCAGGUUCCCCUCUGCUGCUCCGCCUGUGUCCUCCUCAGCUCUGUGUGGGGAUGGGGGCUGCCACACCCCCGGCACGCAAGGCAGCAGCCAUUACAGACGGAGCAGCUCUCCUCUGCACAGAGCUUCCCCAGGGGCGGCGUUCGACAGAACUGGAUGCCCGAUAUCCAGUCCUAAACGGAGCCGUGUCAAGGAGGUUGGAAUGACUCUGAUUGGCUCAAACAGGCUGGGAUGUACGCCUGAGCUAUGUGGGAAGGGGAACGCAGGGCUGUGGUUGCACUGGCUCAGGUCUGCCCAGGGAUUUCUCUCUGAUUCUGAGACUAGCACCUCGUGCAGGUCAUUCUUCUUGGCUGACUGGGGAGAUCUACUGAAAGCAGAGCCAUCAGUUUGACCAGAAACAAGUUGUCUUCUGUUUAUUAAACUGGUGACCCUCAAGACCUGUUUAUCAAAGUGUUUUAGGGCCCAAGCGGGACCUGGUACAUAGAACUCACAACCAUGGGACGCCAGGCCUACUUGUCUGUAGGCGUGGACAGCUGGACGUGGCGCUCCUACUCAUCCGGCAGAAUGUGUAAACGUUUCUUCCAGGCGUGCAGAGACAAAUGCAGAUGGCUAUGAUGUUCCGGCAUGCGGUCAAGACCACUCAGGGAGGAGGAGAGUCAGCUGCUGGGAUGUUCACAUACGAAAGAACGGAGUUGGCCCACAACUCCAUCGUCAGUGACUUAGAACGGAUUGCAGGGGGCAGGCGUUCCACGCGGCAGUGAAGCUACUGCUUGGGAUGCCUGUGUCCCAGGUCAGAGGGCCUGGGUCGAGUCCUGGCUACUCCACUUGGGAUCCAUCUUCCUGUUCAUGCCUGGGAGGCAGCAGAUGAUGGAUCAAGUAUUUAGUCCCUGCCACCCAUGUGGGAGAUGGGGAUGUCGUUCUGGGCUCCUGGCUGUGGCCAGAAACAGCUCUUGCUAUUGUGGGCAUUUGGAGAGUGAACCGGUAGAUGGAAGAUCUAUCCCCAUUGUCUAAUAAAAUGAACAUAUAUGCUUUAAAAACUGGAUCAUUGACCUAAAAUAAGAGCUAAAAUUACAAAAAACAUAGACUAAAACUUGUAAAUCUCAUGACCUUAGAUUAGUUAAUUAUUUCAUUUUUUAAAGAUUUAUUUGUUUAUUUAUUAUCUCUGCAGAGGGGGAGAGAGAGAGAGAGAGAGAGAGAGAGAGAGAGAGAGAUCUGUUUGCUGGUUCACUCCCCAGAUGGCCUCAAUGGCUGGAGCUGGGUCCAUCCAAAGCCAGGAGUCAGGAGCUUCUUCUGGGUCUCCCACGCGGGUGCAGGGACCCAAGGAUUUGGACCAUCUUCCACUGCUUUCCCAGGCCACAGCUGAGAGCUGGAUUGGAAGUGGAGCAGCUGGGACUCCUAUAUGGGAUGCCAGCACUGCAAGCAAUGGCUUUACCCGCUAUGCCACAGCACUGGCUCCAGUUAAUGGUUUCUUAUACCUAAAACACAAACAACAAAAUUUUUUAAAAAUUGGCUCUUUUCAAAAUUAAAAAUUAUUGCGCUUCAAAUCACACUUUCAAGAAAGUGAGAAGAGGGAUCGGCAUUGUGAUGUAGUAGGCUAAGCCUCUGCCUGUGGAGCUGAGAUUCUAUAUGGGCACCAGUUUGUGUCCUGGUUGCUACUCUUUCAACCCAUCUCUCUGCUGUGGCCUGGGAAAGCAGUAGGAGAUGGCCCAAGUGCUUGAGCUCCUGCACCCUCAUGGGAGACCCAGAAGAAGCUCCUGGCUCCUGGCUUCCAACCAAGUCCAGCUCCAGCCAUUGCAGCCAUUUGGGGAGUGAGCCAGCAGUUGGAAGACCUCUCUUUGUCUCUCCCUCUCUCUGUCUAUAACUCUACCACUCAGAUAAGUAAAUAAAUAUUUAAAAAAGUGAAAAGAUAUCCAAUGGAUGGGAGAAAAUGUUUGUGUCUCAUAUACCUAUUAAGGGUCUAGUGUCCAAAGUAUCUAAAGAACUUUUGGCAUUCAAUAAUAGAAAGACAAAUAACCUAAUUAAAAAGUGAGAAAAAGACUUGAAUAGACAUUUCUGCAAAGAAAUACACAGAUGUCCAAUAAGCACGUGAAAAACUGCUUAUCUUCAUUAAUGAUUAGAGAAAUGCAAAUCAAUAGCACAUCACACCCACUGCGAUGACUACAUUGAAACCAAGAUAGACAAUAACAAGUAUUGAUGAGGAUGUGGGAAAAUUGGAAUGCCUGUCUAUUACUGUGGGAGUGUAAAAUGGUGCAGCCACUUAGGAAAAUCGUUUGGCAGUUCCUCAAACAGGUAAAUAUAAAAUUAGUAUUCAGUACCGCAAUCAAUUCUAUUUCUAGGUAAAUACACAAGACCAACCAAAACAUGCAUACACACAAAAACUGAGCACAAAUGUUCAUAGCAUUAUUAUUAUUAUUAUUUUUGACAGGCAGAGUGGGUAGUGAGAGAGACAGAGAGAAAGGUCUUCCUUUUGCCAUUGGUUCACCCUCCAAUGGCUGCCACAGCUGGCGCGCUGCGGCCGGUGCACCGCGCUGAUCCGAUGGCAGGAGCCAGGUGCUUCCUCCUGGUCUCCCGUGGGGUGCAGGGCCCAAGCACUUGGGCCAUCCUCCACUGCACUCCCGGGCCACAGCAGAGAGCUGGCCUUGAAGAGGGGCAACCAGGAAAGAAUCCGGCGCCCCGACCGGAACUAGAACCUGGUGUACCGGUGCCACAGGUGGAGGAUUAGCCUAUUGAGCCGUGGCGCCGGCCUUAUAGCAGCAUUAUUUAUUAUAGCCCCAAGGUGGAAACAACUCAAAUUUCCAUAAAUUGAUAAACGGCGGGUCAACAAAAUAUGGUAUAUCCAUAUAACAGGAUAUUAUUCAGCCCCAAAAAGGAAUGACGUUCUGAUACAUGCAAUGGGUGACCCUUGAAAACAUUGCUAAGCAAAAGAAUCCGGUAACAAGACAACACAGAAGGCAAAAAAGACCAUUACUUUAAACGUCCGGAAUCAGCGAAUUCAUAGGAAGAAAGCAGAUUGGUAGCUGUCACUGGCUGGGGGAGGGGCAGUGGGAAAUGCCUGCCGUUAGGCGUGUGGUUGGAUUUAUUUUGGACUUGAUGAGCAUGUUUCCAAAGAGAUGAUGACGACGGCUGCAGAAUCUUGUGCAUACUGAGAACCACUGAAUGGUACACUUCGAAAGGAUGAAUUUCAUGUUAUGUGAAUUAUAGCUCACUAAAAAUAUGUGUAUGACUUUUGUGGGGAUUUGCAAAUUAGGGCAAAUGUAUCAGUGGACUCACGAAUAUUUAAUUUGAAAAAUUUAUAAAACCAUUUUAUGAUUGUGACUUGUACCCAUCCCAUGUUAUCUUCUCCUGUCUCCUUGGUCUAAAGGACCUGUUGUGUAGAGCAGGAGGUUCCCAACUCUGGGUGUACAUUCGCACAUUUUAGAACCAUCCAGUAGCUUGUAGAAAACAGAGGGUUUGGGCCUGACCCCUGGACAAUUAAACCGUGGUCUCUGUUCCCCUCUUCCCCAACACUGCCGACUUAUUUUAUUGAAAACUCCCAGGUGAUUCCCGCGUGCUCCCAAGAGCUGGGCAACAUUGGGUCCGGUUGUGUCGGCAUCCUUUACCAAGCACUUUUUUCUUCUAUUUCUUUAGUAAGGUUUAUUGAGACACAAUUAGACACUUUAAAAUCUGCUCCUUUAAAGAAUGCAGUCUGGUGAGUUCUGGCAAUGUUUUUACAUCCUGUGUCAAGGGCCACAAUCAGACUACAGAGCGUUGCUGUUACUCCCCCAAAUUCCUUUAUGUCUGUUGGUAAUCAGUCUCUUCCCCUGUGCGUCAGAUGCGCAUAUGAUAGCGUCUCCACGUCUGUGGAUUCUACGUUUAUUUCAACCAACCAGGGAUCGGACACAUUCGACAGUCAGAUACGUGCCUGUAACAUGUGCAGACUCGGUUUUGGUCGUUAUUCCCUAUCCAAUACAGGGUUCCAGCUGUUCCUGCAAGAUUAGGGGAAGUGAGUCGGCAUGAAAUAAAAUCAGUGUCCUCUCGGGAGAGAAGUGCAGGGCUGGUGUGGAGGCAGACGGAGCAGAGCCUUCCGCCACGCCACGUUUGUGGAACUUGCCUUGUCUUUGCACGUAUUGAGGAAAUCUGUCAUAUAAACAGCAUUUACAUUGCAUUUGUACUGUAAGUAAUCUAGUAUUGAAUAAGCAAUUAGAGUAAUUCACAGUGCAUGGGAAGAUGGGCAAAGGUUAUAGGAAAAUUCUAGCCCAUUUGGUUAAAGGAACUCGAGAAUCUGCCGAUUUUGGUACUUGUGGGGUGUCCUGGAACCCAUACACCAUGGACACUGAAGGGCAGCUAACUGUACUACGCAUGUCUUGGAAAAAUACAGCAAAAAAUAGAGAGCAAAAAGCAGAAAAACAUUCUCCAUGUAAUAGAAUCUUGAUUAUUUAAUCUUUUUAAAAGGCUUUUCAUUUAUUCAGGUGAAAAGUAGACUGAUAGGGAGAGCAGAGAGAGAGAGAGAGAGACAUCGUCCAUCUACUGAUUCACUUCCUAAAUGGCUACAGCAGCUAGGGCUGGGCAAAGCCAAAUCCACGAUCCAAGAGCUCCAUCCUGGUUUCCCCCAUGCGUGGCGGGAGCCAAGCACUUGGGCUUCCUCUCCUGCCUGCUCAGGUGGAUUAGCAGGAAGCAGAGCAGCAGGGAUUCAAAUGAUUACUCUGAUAUGGGAUGCUGGCAUUGCAAGUGGCGGCUUAAUGCACUGUGCCACAA